ACUUCAUCACGCUGAUUGAAGAUGACAUUUAGGAAAAACACUGAUUGCUUUCAUAUAUUUAGUUGAUGAAGUGUAGCUCAGAACAAACCUGUACAGGUGAAUCAUUCUUACCUGUGGGGAUUGUCGGCUGGCAGCUGAAUAUCUCUUCUUUUCUUCCCUCCAUUGGAGAUGACAGAGCCCUCGAUUCAACGUCUCCAUCUCAUUCUAUCGGCUUGAGCUGCACUGUUUGUUAGUUCCACCAGAUCCUCAAUGUUCUCUUACCAUGUUGAAGCUCUUACUGUCGACCUCCACGUUAUCAUACGUAGAAUAAAAACACAGAGAAAAGCUUCUCAGACGCUUUUCUGUGAAGUUUUCAUGGAUUUUGAGGCGUUUCUCGGGUCCGACCGCUCGUUAGAGCGGAGCGGUAAUCGGGUGGAGCAGCAACAUCGCUGACGCCAACCGCCACACGGUGGGAGCGAGCAGAACAAGUGAAGGUGUGUGUGCACCCGCUCCCCUCUGUGAAGUCCAUAUCUAAAAGUGUGUGUGUGUGUGUUGUCAGCGCCUCAAACUGACAGCUGAACUAUCCACCCGCCAUUAAUUGAGUUCACACACACACACACACACACACACACAUAAUUUUGCUCUGGGGAUGGAAACAAAUAACAGUAAAAAAAAGGGAAAAGAAAACGCACUCCACUUGGUGAUUAGUGUCCCUGCGCCUCCCGACCGCAUGCAGGCAGAAUAUUAGAGGGAGAUUACGUCUAGUUUUGCUCGGACUGACAAGACGAGGACGAGCCGGCCGAGUGUCUAUCAGCGCCCAGGGAAGGAUCCUUGGGAGGGGGGAAGGAAAGGAGACCAUCCGCUGCUGAAAUCAGACGUUGUGCUUCGCGUGUGUGUGUGUGUGUGUGUGAGGAAAACUUAGUUGUUGGCGGCGAUGGAUUCGCUUCAGGACGUGAAACCGUUUAUUAGUCCUGAAACAUUCACAAUGACUGGGAGUGACAUUCCUUCCCGCCAAAAAACAAACAUGAUUGUGCCCCCCCCCCCGCUCCAUGUGUUCUCCUGCCACACCAUAAUUACAAACAGACUAAAUCAUUUUCUUCGCGGGACGGAUUCAAUUUUUAAAGCAGGACACGUAUGAUUAUAAUAUUCUUCAUUUAAUUACAGCAUUUUGGUCAAAGCAGUGAAUUGGUUUUAUUUGCUGCUAUUAUAGGUUUUAUUUUGGCGGGGAACCUAAAAAGUGUUAAUCUGGAGAUUCCAAAAGGACCCCAUGUUAUAUCAUUUCUAUAUAAAUAAUCAUGAUAAGAUGUCGAUGGACCAAGGAACUGACUUCAAAGUUUACUGUCAUUUAGUCAUUGACUAAAACCAAAAAGGUGUUAAGUUCUUCAUUAGCUUUAGCUGAUUAGCUUCCCCAAAUCCACUUUCUGAUUACGAUCAUGACACCGAUGCAGCGAGAGAACAAAGAACUCAGCGUGUCACGUUUAGCAGAGCUUCUGCUGCCGGAUUCCAGUCUGAAUAACGUUGUGUUUUUAAAAACACACACACACACACACACACGCGCGCGCUGCAGGCCCAGAGAGCAGUCAGACGAUGUGUAAUCAAGACAGAGGUUGCCAUUACAGCUCAAUUAGCAGGCGUAAUUAAAACGCUCGCUCACGGAGCGAUAGCGCGGAUCUCUUUCUCUUCCCUCUCGCUAAGAAUCGAACCGUAGCACAAGGGGGGGCGUUUGUGUAGAACGGCAGGAAUAUUCUGCUGACAUUAUUUCCUGCGCGCACACACACACACACACACACACACACACACGGGGAGAACAGUGGGCUCUGCCAUGUGUUCAGUAAUGAUGGAAUCCAGGGGAAAAGCUGCUCAUGCAUGUCAUUAUUAAUCAGGCACCACCAGCGAGUGACUGCGUCAGCUUUUAUUCCGCUGCAGCCCGGAGGAUUCUCCCUGCGACCCCAAACACGUGUGUGAGGGGGGGGGGUCCUUCUGUCCGCGGCCUCGCUGCUCGUUUCGUGGGUGCAGAGCGACGGUGACUUUAACACCCGAGGCCUCGUUUGGGCGCGACAGCGGGUUUUUUCUCCCGCUGCUCGUUUUGUGGGCCCGAGGUGGUGCGUUCAAGUGCAUCGGCUGAAGGAAUCAGUGAGUACGUCUUUUCUCGCGUGGCCUUUUUUCCAAUUCACGAUAUCAGUCACGCUUGGAAAGACGAGUCACCUCAUGGUCUCUGUGAGGGUUGAACGCCCCAAAACGCAUCAGACCGUUCAGCGCCGGCGACGUGGAGGAAGAAGAGCUGGCCGUUGACAAUUUGCGUCGUAUUUUCCCAUAAAUUAAUUUGACUAUUUCAUGUGUCACCAUCAGAGGUGUGAAUGAGUCACAAAACCUGUGAUUUCAUUUCUGACAAAAUAACUCUUUUUACAGCUGGUCCCGUCCCACACGCAACGACAAUAAAUGUGAUAAACAAGAAUUUGGGAGCACAAACUUUUUUAUUUCUCUUGUCAUUUUUUACUGGAUCUUUUUUAUGUCUUUUGCCAAAAUAUUCAUGUUCCAUCGUCCAACGCGGUGCCGUUUUGUAUCAUCAUGAUUUGUUGCUCCGGCUGCUUUUAUAUCUAUUUAUUUUUCUUGUUUCUGAAACACAUUUCGUGUGAUGUUUCUUACUUUUUCUCCUAAAAUAAAAGAGUGAGUCUGAGGAUGCUGACGUAAAGAAACGCUUUAAAUUAACAAGCCAGCGAUAACAAGCAGAAGGACGAUGGGGGGGAGAAGAGAUGAAGCUGGUUCCAAUAAGCUGCUGCUCAGUCACAUCGUGCUGAAAGAUGGAUAAUCAGCUGUAGCCUAAUUGAGAAGUCUCAUUGUCUUAAACCAGGACACGAGAGGACACGAGAGGACACGAGAAGAGCAGUUUCCUGUUUCCAUCAGUCAUCAUUCAUCUUUUCCUCCACGUGGGAGUUUGAAACAGACUCUGUCGGUUCAAAGGGGGAUGAACUCUUCGUUAUUUUAAAAGCCAGAAACGCGAUCUCUCUCUCCGAGGGCUGAACGCCGCCGCGUGAGGAAUACGGCGGAUUUGAUUGGUUGACUUGUGCGUCUCUGAAUAAACGCCGCUGCCGAUUUCCGCCUCGCAUUUACAAUCCAAAUACGAGCAAAGUUUACUGAGGUGGAAACGUUUUAUUUUGCCGGAUUGGUUUUGUUUGGAUUCACACGGCACAAACAGAGAACUUUACAGAAAGUAAAGUUCCCUCUCCAGCAGUUUGAGGUAACCUGAUCUCUAAUGGAUCACAUGUACGCAGGCAUCCCAUAAACUCGUCUUUUGGAUCCAUUUCCUGUUGUUAGUUUGAAGCGUGUCCGGACUGAAAGAGCCACGUUGAUUGAACAUGUUGCCCACUUUUCACACAACAAAGUCAACUAUGGAAAACCUUCCAAUAUGUGAGAACAACACCCUCAGAAAAACACAGCUGGUCGACUCGUUUGGACAUUAUGUCAAAAGGUUACUGCCAGAAAAGGAAAUAAGAAGGCGAGUUUUCGCAUUGGACCCAUUUGCAGGAGAAGGCCUCAAAGUUUAGGAGGAGCUGGUUGGACUGUGAAGUGCAUCUGUGCACAUCUGUGCACAUCUGCUUCUCUGCGCUUUGGAACGGGAGGCAGAAACUGUUCAUAAUCGCUUGUCCUCCUGGUUCAGUAGUUAUAGGAUUUUACCUGGUUGAAUAAAGGUCAAAUCAAAGUAAAUAAAAUCAUCUGCUGCCACGUUCUUUCUGACAAAAGAGAGUUUCCUUCAUCUGUUUUACAUGAAGAUGUUCUCAUCUCUUCCGGGAGUUUUGGGGUCCAACCAAGAACACAAAUGUGUUUGUGUUCGGAACUCAUCAUUCCGUAAAAAUAGCAUUCUGCAGAAAAGCUGCACUCGUGACGGCGUUGAUGUCGCUUUAACGACGUUUUCUCCUCCCCGUCCUCCCAUGUUUUAUUUUUAUUUUAGCUCUGAUCCUAAACUCCACGAUGCUCCUGUGGAGGGGAAGGAGCUGCUCAGCAUCCAGCCAGCGGAGAACCUGAGAACUCAAGUCGCUGCUCUGGUGUUUUUCUGCUGAAUCUGAAGCUCUGGUUCCGUCCAGCAGCUAAAUCUGUUUAAACACAGAGAACCGCGUGCGGUACUUCGGUAUUGUUCAUUUAUUCAGAUUUGCUGUCGGCUGCUCUCUUGCCUCGACCGUCCACCGUUUGAACUGUCUGUCAGACUUGUGACGGGCGGGAUCGGCCGCCCCCCGGGGGUCCACAGGGAUGCAACUACACACCAUUUAAACAUUCACAGAUCCGGUUUCUAUCGCUUCAAGUGUUUCAUUUGCUCUGAAACAGGCGCUUAAAAGCUGAAACACACAUCAGAUUUUUAAAUGAUGUAUUGCUUGUUUGUGGGUUUGUGGCAGAGCCGUCUUGUUUGGUUUGUUCGGCGCUGAGCAUGAUGUGUCCCUUUUUAUUCAUCCAGGAUGUGACAUUGAUGUUUAAACUUACUUUACAAGCGAGACGGAGCCACAACGGGGCAACGACAUCGCUCCACUCCGCAAGUGAUUGAUUUUUGUAGCUUUAAGUUCGCAGGCUUUUCCUUUUUAACUUGGACAAUUUUGCAGUUUUACACAAUAUUGCCGCGACUGCAGGAAGCCCUACUGGACCCAAACUGAUUAAAGAUUAAAGUCUCACACACAGCGGCAGCGGUGACGUCUUUGAGGUGAGUCGUUUUUUUCCAAAGGAGGAAAAACCUCCCGGUUGCUUGUUGUCUGUCUCGUCUGAGCGUUAAAUUGGAACAAAGCAGCGAUGACGUUAAGUGACGUCUUACAGUGAGAUGUAAUCAGAUAAAAAAACAGAAACACCUCUUUCCGUGUUUUUCACCCCGGCAGCAACUGUCCUUCUUGUCACACUAAGCGAAUUCCCUCUAAUCAGUGUGAUGCUGCUGCACAGAGAUGUCGACACGCUUCACCGCCUUUCUUCAGCGGUGCAGCUAAAAAUAAUCCGUUCGUCUGGAGUGAUCAGUUUUUAGAUGAUCGACCGUCCUGUUUAACUGUUUGGUUUAAGUUUCCGGUCGUUUCAGGGUCACUAGAGCUUUGCUAUUUGUAUUUAGCUGUUUUUCGCCUUGUACAUUCUGUUAUGUGCUGUGAGGGGGAGGAGAGCCAGAAUCAUCAGGUAACUUUACCUGAAGUUAAUUUAAUCAAAGUAAAACCUGUGGCUCUGAUCCGUUCCACCACGAGCUUCUGCACUUUAACUCUCCGGAUCCUCGUUGGUUGAGAUGCACCAAGAGCUCCAGCUCGCAGGUGUGUUGUUUUCGAUGUUUGCUCCCUCUGGGUGCAGAUGCGUGGGCCGCAUGCCGCUAUCGACCAGCACGUGAGCGAGGCUGUGCGCGCUGCCCUUACCUCUGUAUGCAUAAUGCAUAUCAGCCACUGCUCCCUCCGAUGUAACGCCGCCGUCGAACACCAGAAGGCCUAUUAAGCAUGCAUUAAACCGGCUGAUGGCCUGCGUGUACCAACGCCGCUCAUUUCUGCGAGACGGAACGACAUCCCUCCUGGUGGAGAUGUUAUUCUGAGGAGGUCAACGGACAAACAACAACAUGGCUCAUUGCUAUUCAUUGAAAGUGGCACGUCAAUAGAAAAGAAGUGGUGCGUGCCAGGAUGCCAAGAGCUAAUGAAGAGCCUGUGAGUGGAGGUGCACAGAAGACAGACAGUGCUGGAGCCAGUUCAGUGGUUGCACUCCUCCUGAUUCUGCUGCCAUGUGCUAAAAGCACCCGGGUUAAUGACGUCUAACAUUCCGUGUGACAUUGUUUGUGAGGACAACUUCCCUCGCGUGGCUGUGAAUGGAUAUGAGUUUGUCUCCCCGGGAGACUCAGAGGACAGAGUCUGAGGCAAAGUGGCAAAACCACACAGCUGGUUCUUCGCGAAAGCCCUCUUGAAGUGGUCACCAAGUAGAACGUCUUCAAAGCUGGAUCGCCGUGAUGCUUUUACCAGAUGUUCUCCAGCUCCUCCACUGCUCCUCAGAGCAAUAAGCUACGGAAAAAUCCUUCUGCAUGAAGAGCAGCAGCGAGCUGCUUGAUAACUAAGCACAAUGCACAUCGUCCGGCAUUAAUACACCAAAACACACCUGCAAUACGGACGUCGACCCUCAGGGAUCCGUCGGUAAUGGAGCGUGUCUGUGUGCCAGCGAGUGUCCUGCUGGUUCAGUGUCCCCCCCCAGAAAUGCAUUCAUCAACGUAGACGAACCACUGCACAAAUUAAGAAAAAUGAAUUACAUUUACAAAUGACCUUUGGAGGGACCAGUCGCCGUUUAAUGUCACUGGUUCUGCGAGAGAAGGAGGAGAUUCUGUCUAAUUUUGUACCGUUUAAAUGUCGGUUCAGUCAGUUUUAAAACGCUGCGUCUUCCACGACGUCUCUGCCUUUUCCUCCCGCGGGCGUUUUUCUCUGUGCGAGUUGUCUGUCUUCUCAAACAGGAAACUGCCCCGAAUGGCGGCGCCGUGCCGCGAGGAGGCGGGGACUCCGGGGGGGGACUCUCGCUCUAUGAAAAGCUGCCGGGUCCGGGUUUCGUCUCCUGCUGAAUUAUUCAACACCCUCUCAUCCCCGUCAUGUGUGUGUCUGUGUGUGUGUGUGUGUGUGUGUGUGUGUGUGUGUGUGUGUCUGUGUGUGUGUGUGAGAGACGCCUCCGGGCCCGGCGGUACCCGUCUGACCUCGUGGCUCAGGAAGCAUUCGGAUGCUCCGCGUGGCUCCAGGCGAGAGGAGCACAGCUGCACACAGCAAACGAUGAGCUCUCUGGAACCGGCGCCGUGGGCCGUGACUCAACGAAGCCUCGUCUCAUCGAACUCGGAGGUUUGAGAUCAUUUUUUUAUAGCCAUUAUUGGGUGUUGCUGUCAGCAAUGAUGUGUUUGCAGCGGAUCGGUACGCAUUGGGUUUGAAACACACAGAGGCGAGUGAAAAGUCAAAUCGGGUCACUAUCGGGUGCAUGAAGGUGACACAAAGGAAUCAACAACAAAGCCGUGAACGCGUGUAAAUCCACACGAGGGAACCUUCUGAGAGUUUGAGCAUCACUUUUAGUCUUUUGUCUUCUGUCUUUGCUUGUAUUCACUCUCUCUCCCCGUCCAGAAAGCUUCUCUCUUCGCAGGAAGAAGCAGUUCGUUCCUCUUGUUUACGAGCGGAACGGGGGGGGGGGAGUAAUGUUGACCAGUGGAGGCGAACGGGCGUCCAGAGAGGGACCUGUCCUCUCCGCGGGCCGAUGGAUGUCACACAACAGCAGGAGACGUCCCCUCGGAGGAAUGUGGGAGAUGAACAAAACAGGUCAGCAGGUACCGAGCCGAAGAAAUCGGGCUGCAGUUACAUAAUGUGUGAUGUGUCCGAGGCGCAUGGACUUCUGUAAUUGCAUGAGAUGCACUGUGCAGAAGACACGUUCACUCUUUGUUUUAAAAGAUUAGCGAAGCACCUGCGGGACCCCACGCAGACCACCCGACACCCCUGAACCUCUUUUUGUUAAUUAGAUAUUGAAACUUUUGCGUUUGGAAUCCGGAGAUUAGAGAGCAGGCGGCGGGUGCGUUACAUUUGCUGAGGAGACCCUCCGGGGGUCUGCGCUGAGAGCCACUGUGGGCCUGGCGCUAAUGCUCACGCUCUGUCUCCUGUCCUGUCGGCCUGUAAGCACUCAGCUCAUUGUCAGCAGCUCUCCUCUCUGAGUAGACGUCGACUUCACCGUUCCAACCUGCACCUGCACGUUUGCAGUGACGGUGGAUAUUUUUCGGUGCUCGUUCUCCUUUUUCUCUGGUUGUGCGCUGCAAGGUUGAAAAGAAAAGUCAAAGUGAAGCGUUCAUUAACUGAUGAUAUUCACUCUUCCAACCAACAUGCCGUAAUAGCAACGCUCCUUCACGUUGUUAAACACGGUGCAUUUUAGCAAGACAGCCAGAAAGAGUCAGAAAAGUCCUCAUCUGCAAGAAAGUGUGUGGGCAGCUCCAGCCGAACGCUUUUGAAACACACACUCGUACAAAGGGUCCAUUAGGGGCACUCAGCGGCCGCCCCUGCUGUGCUUUGCUGCACGGAUUUCAGCGCUACCCUCCCCCACACCCCCCGUGUAGCUGCUGUAGCUCCGGGGCCUACUGCUGCACCGCGGGGGGCUUUUUCUUUCUUCUUUCACUCUACAAAAGUGUUUUAAACCCACACACUCGGCCUGGACGGCCUCAUCGCUGGGCCUGCGAGGGGGGCACCGUGCACGCCGCGGGGGUCCACAGACGGUGGGAGACGCAUUCUGAGACGUCGCUGUGAAGCAGCAGGAAACGCAGUUGUUGCUUUUUUUUCAACACACAUCCUCAUUCUCACUUCAGUGGGAUUGUGUUGGUUUCAAGCGCUGGGACUUAAAACGUCCCAUUUCAUGGCCUGUAAGAGGGAGAAUGAGAGGUGAGACGGAGGUAGAAGUGUGUGUGUGUGUGUGUGUGUGUGUGUCUAGUUGAAGAACAGGAAGAGCCCCCCCCCCCCCCUCCCUUGUCAGACAUCAUCUCAGCAGUUGGAGGAGCGCUUGUUCGAGUGCGAGUCUGUCUGACGUGGAGCCCAGUGUCCAGAGGAAGACGCGAUAACGUUGUUCCCGGACCGAUGCACCGACAAACCCCUCGCACC
ensembl:lncRNA